rnacentral:rRNA from 1 species
AUUCCAGCUCCAAUAGCGUAUAUUAAAGUUGUUGCAGUUAAAAAGCUCGUAGUUGGAUUUCUGAUAGGGAGCCGAUCACCACUGUUGUGAGUGUUAGGUACCUGUCAUCCUUCUGUUAACCCCUGCGGCAUUCAUUUGUCGUUGGGCGGACCAGAUACUUUACCUUGAGAAAAUUAGAGUGUUUCAGGCAGGCCUAGCCGGAAUACAUUAGCAUGGAAUAAUGGAAUAGGACUAUAGUCUCGUCGUUGGUUACGUGGACUGCAGUAAUGAUUAAUAGGGAUAGUUGGGGGCAUUAGUAUUUAUUAGCUAGAGGUGGAAUUCUCUAAUUUGAUAAAGACUAACUUAUGCGAAAGCAUUUGCCAAGGAUGUUUUCAUUG